rnacentral:rRNA from 1 species
UACGGAGGGGGUUAGCGUUGUUCGGAAUUACUGGGCGUAAAGCGCGCGUAGGCGGACCAUCAAGUUGGGGGUGAAAUCCCCGGGGCUCAACCCCCGGAACUGCCUCCAAAACUGGCGGUCUGGAGUUCGAGAGAGGUGAGUGGAAUUCCGAGUGUAGAGGUGAAAUUCGUAGAUAUUCGGAGGAACACCAGUGGCGAAGGCGGCUCACUGGCUCGAUACUGACGCUGAGGUGCGAAAGUGUGGGGAGCAAACAGGAUUAGAUACCCCGGUAGU